rnacentral:rRNA from 1 species
CGUAGGGCGCAAGCGUUGUCCGGAAUUAUUGGGCGUAAAGAGCUCGUAGGCGGCUUGUCACGUCGGGUGUGAAAGCCCGGGGCUUAACCCCGGGUCUGCAUUCGAUACGGGCAGGCUAGAGUGUGGUAGGGGAGAUCGGAAUUCCUGGUGUAGCGGUGAAAUGCGCAGAUAUCAGGAGGAACACCGGUGGCGAAGGCGGAUCUCUGGGCCAUUACUGACGCUGAGGAGCGAAAGCGUGGGGAGCGAACAGGAUUAGAUACCCUGGUAGUCCACGCCGUAAACGGUGGGAACUAGGUGUUGGCGACAUUCCACGUCGUCGGUGCCGCAGCUAACGCAUUAAGUUCCCCGCCUGGGGAGUACGGCCGCAAGGCUA